rnacentral:rRNA from 1 species
GAGUUUGAUCCUGGCUCGGAUUGAACGCUGGCGGCAGGCCUAACACAUGCAAGUCGAGCGGAUGAAGGGAGCUUGCUCCUGGAUUCAGCGGCGGACGGGUGAGUAAUGCCUAGGAAUCUGCCUGGGUAGUGGGGGAUAACGUCCGGAAACGGGCGCUAAUACCGCAUACGUCCUGAGGGAGGAAAGUGGGGGAGUCUUCGGACCUCACGCUAUCAGAUGAGCCUAGGUCGGAUUAGCUAGUUGGUGGGGUAAAGGCCUACCAAGGCGACGAUCCGUAACUGGUCUGAGAGGAUGAUCAGUCACACUGGAACUGAGACACGGUCCAGACUCCUACGGGAGGCAGCAGUGGGGAAUAUUGGACAAUGGGCGAAAGCCUGAUCCAGCCAUGCCGCGUGUGUGAAGAAGGUCUUCGGAUUGUAAAGCACUUUAAGUUGGGAGGAAGGGCAGUAAGUUAAUACCUUGCUGUUUGACGUUACCAACAGAAUAAGCACCGGCUAACUUCGUGCCAGCAGCCGCCGUAAU